GAUGAAGAACGCAGCGAAAUGCGAUAAGUAAUGUGAAUUGCAGAAUUCAGUGAAUCAUCGAAUCUUUGAACGCACAUUGCGCCCGCCAGUAUUCUGGCGGGCAUGCCUGUUCGAGCGUCAUUACAACCCUCAGGCCCCCGGGCCUGGCGUUGGGGAUCGGCGGAAGCCCCCUGCGGGCACAACGCCGUCCCCCAAAUACAGUGGCGGUCCCGCCGCAGCUUCCAUUGCGUAGUAGCUAACACCUCGCAACUGGAGAGCGGCGCGGCCACGUCGUAAAACACCCAACUUCUGAAUGUUGACCUCGAAUCAGGUAGGAAUACCCGCUGAACUUAAGCAUAUCAAUAAGCGGAGGA
rnacentral:misc_RNA from 1 species